rnacentral:rRNA from 1 species
GAUGAACGCUGGCGGCGUGCCUAAUACAUGCAAGUCGAGCGAACAGAUGAGGAGCUUGCUCCUCUGACGUUAGCGGCGGACGGGUGAGUAACACGUGGAUAACCUACCUAUAAGGCUGGGAUAACUUCGGGAAACCGGAGCUAAUACCGGAUAAUAUAUUGAACCGCAUGGUUCAAUAGUGAAAGACGGUUUUGCUGUCACUUAUAGAUGGAUCCGCGCCGCAUUAGCUAGUUGGUAAGGUAACGGCUUACCAAGGCAACGAUGCGUAGCCGACCUGAGAGUGUGAUCGGCCACACUGGAACUGAGACACGGUCCAGACUCCUACGGGAGGCAGCAGUAGGGAAUCUGCCGCAGUAGGCGAAAGCCUGACGGAGCAACGCCGCGUGAGUGAUGAAGGUCUUCGGAUCGUAAAACUCUGUUAUUAGGGAAGAACAAAUGUGUAAGUAACUAUGCACGUCUUGACGGUACCUAAUCAGAAAGCCACGGCUAACUACGUG